CUUGAGCGAGCCGAGCCACAGCGGCCGUCCGUCGGGCCGGUCCUGGCCGUAGGUGGCGAUGAUCGCCUGCGCCUC
rnacentral:antisense_RNA from 1 species